rnacentral:lncRNA from 1 species
UUUCCCCUGCACACACGGAGGGACUGAUCAUGCAAACUGUCUUUAGAGUCAAACACAGUUUGGUUUGUGCGUUUAUGUGGACUGUCGGUGAGUCACUCUCUCGGAGUUCAUUUGACUGUCUUAGUUCAACACUGACUCAUCACCAAAAUAGGCCGCGCUGCGAUAUGUUCUUCCCCUCUGUGCUUCCCUCGACCUCAGCAGGCAUUAUUGACCUGAGACUUCCUCCCGCCUCACCAGUAAGAGCAGUUUGGCUCAUCAUUGUCUUGUUCCCACCUGCCCAGUGGGGACGAGGAUUCUCUGCUGAUGAGGAUUCUUCAGAGGACAAUAACAAGCAUCUCUUUGUCUUAUUGUUCCUGUUUUUUCUUUGUUUUUUCCUUUGAUACUGGGAUGUUUUCUUGACUUUUUUUCAUCAUACUGCAUAUGUUUAACAAUGUUUGUCUAUUUUGUCAUUUUUGCCUUGUAUUCUUUUGUCACACAUUGGCUUAAAAAUGUAUUCCUGCAUUGCCUGUCCUUAAAUAUUUAAUUCCAAACAUGUAUGUGUAGAUAUAAUGUUUUGUGAAUGUCACAUGUUUCUAGUUUGUGCUUGCUGGUAUUAAGAUGUGUGAACAUGUUUUCUCUUGGGAAUCUGUUUCCAUGUCCCUCGGCUCUGGUUGGCAACACCUGUCCUAGUUACCAUACAUUUCACUCAGGUCGAAUAUGCAGAACGAGAACGAGGACGUGUGCCUAAACAUUGGUCUUUACAUGUUGAAUUGAAAAAGUAAUGGCAUCUCUGUUUCUUUUUUAAUUAUUUGACCGUAUUUCUUCUCAAUUCCAGAGAGAUUAAACUACCCAACAAUUUAUGAAGUGGUUGGACCAGUUAAAAGUGUACUGCUCAAAACCACGUCUCUUUGAUAAAUGCGGGUCUGGUUUUAGGAGAUACAUGGGAAAUAUUUCACAGUCUGUUGUGGGUUGAUGAUGAGAUAUGUUUGAAAUAUGCACACAAGUUGAAUUUCUAUGUACUAAACUAUGUACUAACCCCCUUUGAUUAUGAUGGAAUUUGUCUAGGGGUGGGAGGGACUAGUCUUGAACCGUGAGGUGCUAAUUAGUUUUUAUUUCUAAUAUUUCAAUUUCUCCUGUAAACUGCACUAUGUUUAAGACAAAUCCAACAAAUAAAAAAGGUUCUGCUCAACCAAUAAUGAAUAAAUUAUUGGGUUUUUUAUGAUAACAGUUUUAAGCAAAGUAAACAUUUGAAUGCAGGACUUUUAUUUGUAGUCAAGUGUUUUCACGUUCCUUUUAAAGGGAAGAGGUCGGGUGGAUGGAUGGGUCAAACAAACACAGGACUUUUACCCAGAAGGCCGCUGUUAGUUUCACG